AUCAUGGUUCCUUUAGGAACCAAAAUUAGUUUGUUUAGACUAAUUU
rfam:Musa acuminata subsp. malaccensis Doubled-haploid Pahang (DH-Pahang) genomic chromosome, chr10